GAACUUACCUGGCAGGGGACAUAUGAACAGGAAGGUAGUUUUCUGAGUGCAAGGUUUAUCCUUUGCACUCCAGAUGUGCUGACCCCUACAAUUUCCCCAAAUGUGGGAAACUCAAUUGCAUUAUUUGUGAGAGUAGGAGAGCAUUCUUGCUCUCCCC